rnacentral:rRNA from 1 species
UACGGGGGGGGCAAGCGUUGUUCGGAAUUACUGGGCGUAAAGGGCUCGUAGGCGGCCAACUAAGUCAAACGUGAAAUCCCUCGGCUUAACCGGGGAACUGCGUCUGAUACUGGAUGGCUUGAGAUUGGGAGAGGGAUGCGGAAUUCCAGGUGUAGUGGUGAAAUGCGUAGAUAUCGGGAGGAACACCAGUGGCGAAGGCGGCUUUCUGGUCUGCUCUUGACGCUGAGGCGCGAAAGCUAGGGUAGCAAACGGG